rnacentral:rRNA from 1 species
CGCCGCGUGAACGAUGAAGGUCUUCGGAUCGUAAAGUUCUGUUGUUAGGGAAGAACAAGUACCAGAGGAAAUGCUGGUACCUUGACGGUACCUAACCAGAAAGCCCCGGCUAACUACGUGCCAGCAGCCGCGGUAAUACGUAGGGGGCAAGCGUUGUCCGGAAUUAUUGGGCGUAAAGCGCGCGCAGGCGGUUCCUUAAGUCUGAUGUGAAAGCCCACAGCUCAACUGUGGAGGGCCAUUGGAAACUGGGGAACUUGAGUACAGAAGAGGAGAGUGGAAUUCCACGUGUAGCGGUGAAAUGCGUAGAUAUGUGGAGGAACCCAGUGGCGAAGGCGACUCUCUGGUCUGUAACUGACGCUGAGGCGCGAAAGCGUGGGUAGCAAACAGGAUUAGAUACCCUGGUAGUCCACGCCGUAAACGUUGAGUGCUAGGUGUUAGGGGGUUUCCGCCCCUUAGUGCUGAAGUUAACGCAUUAAGCACUCCGCCUGGGGAGUACGGCCGCAAGGCUGAAACUCAAAGGAAUUGACGGGGGCCCGCACAAGCGGUGGAGCAUGUGGUUAAUUC